UACCCUCAUAAAAUUAUGAAAUGAUUUUAAUGGUCUGGAGUUGUAGUUGGGAUAUUCAGUUUUAUCUUGUUUUUUGAAACUCCCCAAGUACUUAUAACGUACAGGCUGACAAGAACACCUGAUUCAAUCAGUUCUCUCUGCCCCGACUUUACAGAUGCAGAAACCACGACCAAGAGAGAAGAAGAGAUUUGUCCAAGAACACAUGCAAGUAGGCCCUUGCCAGAACCUGGAGCCCUCCAGAACGACCUAGAGGCAGAGGCUCUAGAAGGAGCAGGGGUCCCCAGCCACCGGGAGAUUCCCAGCUCCCUUCUCGUGCUUGGAUUCGCGCACUCAGGCUCAUCCCUGCGGGUGGGCCUCUUGGACGCAGCACCCUCCGGAGACAGCGCCACGGGUGUGGGACUUUUCCUCCUUUCCAAUUGGCAAAGUGAUCCCGGGCAAGUCAUUGUCCGUCAUCCCAGGAAGAAGAAAGUACUGUUCAAAUCAGGGACUUGACUCCCACAAGACUCCCACAAGAGCCCGGAGUCUUAAGUGGACAAUGAGCCGUUUAAAACCAUGCACAGGCCAGUCGCGGUGGCUUAGCCCGUAAUCCCAGCACUCUGGGAGGCCAAGGAGGGCAGGUCACUUGAGGUCAGAAGUUCGAGACCAGCCUGGCCAGCAUGGUGAAACCCCAUUUCUAGUAAAAAUACAAAAAUUAGCCGGAUGUAGUGGUACGCAUUUGUAAUCCCAGCUACUUGGGAGGCUAAGGCAGGAGAAUCG
rnacentral:lncRNA from 1 species